AAGUCGUAACAAGGUCUCCGUUGGUGAACCAGCGGAGGGAUCAUUACCGAGUUAUACAACUCCCAAACCCAAUGUGAACCUUACCAUUCUGUUGCUUCGGCGGGACUGCCCCGGGGGCCUCGUGCACCCGGAUCCAGGCGCCCGCCGGAGACCCAAAACUCUUCUGUUUUUUAUUGGCAUUAGUCUGAGUAACGCCGCAAGGCAAAAAAUGAAUCAAAACUUUCAACAACGGAUCUCUUGGUUCUG
rnacentral:misc_RNA from 1 species